rnacentral:rRNA from 1 species
UUAGGGAUUUUCUGCAAUGCGCGAAAGCGUGACAGAGCGAGCCAAAGUGCUUCUCCUUAUUUUGGAUAAGCUUUUGCCAGUUGUAAAAAUACUGGCGAAUAAGGACCGGGCAAGACCGGUGCCAGCCGCCGCGGUAAUCCCGGCGGUCCAAGUCGCAGCCACUAUUACUGGGUCUAAAACAUCCGUAGCUUGCUUAGUAAGUCUCUUGUGAAAUCCUAUAUCUCAAGUAUAGGGCGGGCAAGAGAUACUGCUUUGCUAGAGACCGGGGGACGUAAGAAGUACGAUUGGGGUAGUGGUUAAAUACGUUAAUCCCAAUCGGACUAACGAUAGCGAAGGCCUCUUACGAUUACGGUUCUGACAGUGAGGGAUGAAGGCCAGGGGCGCAAAAUGG